GACGAACGCUGGCGGCGUGCCUAAUACAUGCAAGUUGAGCGAUGAAGAUUGGUGCUUGCACCAAUUUGAAGAGCAGCGAACGGGUGAGUAACGCGUGGGGAAUCUGCCUUUGAGCGGGGGACAACAUUUGGAGACGAAUGCUAAUACCGCAUAACAACUUUAAACAUAAGUUUUAAGUUUGAAAGAUGCAAUUGCAUCACUCAAAGAUGAUCCCGCGUUGUAUUAGCUAGUUGGUGAGGUAAAGGCUCACCAAGGCGAUGAUACAUAGCCGACCUGAGAGGGUGAUCGGCCACAUUGGGACUGAGACACGGCCCAAACUCCUACGGGAGGCAGCAGUUGGGAAUCUUCGGCAAUGGACGAAAGUCUGACCGAGCAACGCCGCGUGAGUGAAGAAGGUUUUCGGAUCGUAAAACUCUGUUGGUAGAGAAGAACGUUGGUGAGAGUGGAAAGCUCAUCAAGUGACGGUAACUACCCAGAAAGGGACGGCUAACUACGUG
rnacentral:rRNA from 1 species